rnacentral:rRNA from 1 species
GAUGAACGCUGACAGAAUGCUUAACACAUGCAAGUCGAUGGGGAAGUGGUGCUUGCACCAUGGUAACCAUGGCGGACGGGUGAGUAACGCGUAAGGAACUUACCUGCGGGACCGGGAUAACAGCAGGAAACUGCUGACAAGACCGGAUAAGGUCAUUAAGCUGCAUAGCUUAGUGAUGAAAGGAGACGCCUGCGGAGAGCCUUGCGUCCUAUUAGCUAGUUGGGGGGGUAACGGCCCACCAAGGCGAAGUUAGGUAGCCGGCCUGAGGGGGUGGACGGCCACAAGGGGACUGAGAUACGGCCCUUACUCCUACGGGAGGCAGCAGUGGGGAAUAUUGGACAAUGGGGGCAACCCUGAUCCAGCAAUUCUGUGUGCACGAAGACGGUUUUCGGAUUGUAAAGUGCUUUCAGCAGGGAAGAAGGAAGUGACGGUACCUGCAGAAGAAGCGACGGCUAAAUACGUG